ACUGAACAGGUUACCUUCUUUAGGUAGAAGAACCAUACUGAACAGGUUACCUUCUUUAGGUAGAAGAACCAUACUGAACAGGUUACCUUCUUUAGGUAGAAGAACCAUACUGAACAGGUUACCUUCUUUAGGUAGAAGAACCAUACUGAACAGGUUACCUUCUUUAGGUAGAAGAACCAUACUGAACAGGUUACCUUCUUUAGGUAGAAGAACCAUACUGAACAGGUUACCUUCUUUAGGUAGAAGAACCAUACUGAACAGGUUACCUUCUUUAGGUAGAAGAACCAUACUGAACAGGUUACCUUCUUUAGGUAGAAGAACCAUACUGAACAGGUUACCUUCUUUAGGUAGAAGAACCAUACUGAACAGGUUACCUUCUUUAGGUAGAAGAACCAUACUGAACAGGUUACCUUCUUUAGGUAGAAGAACCAUACUGAACAGGUUACCUUCUUUAGGUAGAAGAACCAUACUGAACAGGUUACCUUCUUUAGGUAGAAGAACCAUACUGAACA